CGUGUGUGUGUGUAAAAGACUGUUUCUUCAUGUCUCGUGUGGCUGCUCCCGGAGUUCUCAUAUGCAGUCGGACUCGACGUUUACCCAGAUAAAGCAUGGGGACACAUCACCUUUUUACUGUGCUUCUGUUUACCACCUCUCUAAGCAUGUGGGAAUGUAAACUUUGGGUGGUGAAAUCAAGUCCAAGUGCUGCAAAGAGCGUGGGGCGAAUGAACAGGCGUCAUCACCAUGGUCGAAAACACAGUAAACAAGGUACCAUCGAAAAUGCUUCUCAACGCAAUCAAUGAAAGGCCAGUAGUUUUUCAAGCGAGACCAGGAUUUUGUGUUGUAGAUUUUUUUACAGCUUUACUCUAAUAGAAGACUGGUAUGGGCUGUGAAGACGACUGCAGAAACGAGCACAACAUGCCGAGUCGACGUUGUUACGGCCGCGAAUGCAAGUUAUGUCCACUUUAAUCGAACAUAUUAUUGGAAGGAUACGAAAACAGUGAACCUCUUGGAGGGAACUUUGGUGGUUCUGAGUAUGCUCAGCCAUGAAAGUUGGAAAUCGGAGGGGAUGCUUCUUCAUGGGCAUGAUGCCACGAUAUUUUGGGAGGAGGAACUCUUAUCUGUUGACGAUACCAAAGUGUGUGACGUUUACUACGUGAGACCUCAAUUUGGGCGCCCGUGGUAUGAGCUGCGUGUGUUGAAUUCAACAGUGGAAAAUAUCCCAAAGCAAUGCCUGAAUUUAACCAAGAACCAUUUCAUAUACGGCCAGCAAUGGAAACGUUUGUACAAUUCAGCCUGUCAAAACAUUAUCCAAAAUAAUCAACACUAA